UAUUAUUUUGAAUGUAAAUAUUUAAGACUAGAGUAGUAUUAGUUAAGUUCUUGAAACUCAAAGAAUUUGGCGGUGUUUUAGUCUUUUCAGAGGAAUCUGUUGCGUAAUUGAUAAUACACAAUAUAUUAUACUUUAUUUUGUAAAUUCAGUUUGUAUACCGCCGUCGUAAGAUUAUCUUUUUAGAGUAUUAAUUUUCUUGGAAUUAAAUUAAAUUAAAUGUCAGGUCAAGGUGCAGCUUAUAGUAAAGUGUUAAAUGGAUUACAAUAAAAUUAUUUAUUAUGAAUAAUUAUUUGAAAUAUAAAUUUGAAGGUGGAUUUGAAUGUAAUAUUAUUAUAUUAUGAUAAUAUGAUUUUAGCUCUAAAACAUGUACACAUCGCCCGUCGCUCUCAUUAUAAGAUGAG
rnacentral:rRNA from 1 species